rnacentral:rRNA from 1 species
GUGUCAGCCGCCGCGGUAAGACGUAGGAUGCAAGCGUUGUCCGGAUUUAUUGGGCGUAAAGAGUUCGUAGGCGGUUUGUUAAGUCUGAUGUUAAAGACUGGGGCUCAACCCUGGGAGUGCAUUGGAUACUGGCAGACUCGAGUGCAGUAGAGGCAAGCGGAAUUCCAGGUGUAGCGGUGAAAUGCGUAGAUAUCUGGAAGAACACCGGUGGCGCAAGCGGCUUGCUGGGCUGUAACUGACGCUGAGGAACGAAAGCUAGGGUAGCGAAUGGGAUUAGAUACCCCAGUAGUCCUAGCCGUAAACGAUGGAUACUAGGCGUAUCGGGUAUCGACCCCUGAUGUGCCGCAGCAAACGCGAUAAGUAUCCCGCCUGAGUAGUACGGCCGCAAGGUUGAAACUCAAAGGAAUUGACGG